AUUGAACGCUGGCGGCAGGCUUAACACAUGCAAGUCGAGCGCGCGGCGGACGGGUGAGUAAUGUAUGGGAAACUGCCUGUUGGAGGGGGAUAACUACUGGAAACGGUCGCUAAUACCGCAUACCAUCAGAUGUGCCCAGAUGGGAAUAGCUAGUAGGUGGGGUAAUGGCUCACCUAGGCGACGAUCCCUAGCUGGUCUGAGAGGAUGACCAGCCACACUGGAACUGAGACACGGUCCAGACUCCUACGGGAGGCAGCAGUGGGGAAUAUUGCACAAUGGGCGAAAGCCUGAUGCAGCCAUGCCGCGUGUGGGAAGAAGGCCGUCGGGUUGUAAAGCACUUUCAGCGAGGAGGCGUUAAUCGCAGAAGAAGCACCGGCUAACUCCGUGCCAGCAGCCGCGGUAAUUC
rnacentral:rRNA from 1 species